AGUGAACGCGGGCGGUAGGCCUAACACAUGCAAGUCGAACGGCAGCACAGUAAGAGCUUGCUCUUACGGGUGGCGAGUGGCGGACGGGUGAGGAAUACAUCGGAAUCUACUUUUUCGUGGGGGAUAACGUAGGGAAACUUACGCUAAUACCGCAUACGACCUACGGGUGAAAGCAGGGGAUCUUCGGACCUUGCGCGAUUGAAUGAGCCGAUGUCGGAUUAGCUAGUUGGCGGGGUAAAGGCCCACCAAGGCGACGAUCCGUAGCUGGUCUGAGAGGAUGAUCAGCCACACUGGAACUGAGACACAGUCCAGACUCCUACGGGAGGCAGCAGUGGGGAAUAUUGGACAAUGGGCGCAAGCCUGAUCCAGCCAUACCGCGUGGGUGAAGAAGGCCUUCGGGUUGUAAAGCCCUUUUGUUGGGAAAGAAAAGCAGCAGGUUAAUACCCCGCUGUUCUGACGGUACCCAAAGAAUAAGCACCGGCUAACUUCGUG
rnacentral:rRNA from 1 species